rnacentral:rRNA from 1 species
AUUGAACGCUGGCGGCAGGCCUAACACAUGCAAGUCGAGCGGAUGAAGGGAGCUUGUUCCUGGAUUCAGCGGCGGACGGGUGAGUAAUGCCUAGGAAUCUGCCUGGUCGUGAGGGAUAACGUCCGGAAACGGGCGCUAAUACCGCAUACGUCCAGAGGGAGAAAGUGGGGGAUCUUCGGACCUCACGCUAUCAGAUGAGCCUAGGUCGGAUUAGCUAGUUGGUGGGGUAAAGGCCUACCAAGGCGACGAUCCGUAACUGGUCUGAGAGGAUGAUCAGUCACACUGGAACUGAGACACGGUCCAGACUCCUACGGGAGGCAGCAGUGGGGAAUAUUGGACAAUGGGCGAAAGCCUGAUGCAGCCAUGCCGCGUGUGUGAAGAAGGUCUUCGGAUUGUAAAGCACUUUAAGUUGGGAGGAAGGGCAGUAAGUUAAUACCUUGCUGUUUUGACGUUACCAACAGAAUAAGCACCGGCUAACUUCGUG